rnacentral:misc_RNA from 1 species
AGCAGCCGCGGUAAUUCCAGCUCCAAUAGCGUAUAUUAAAGUUGUUGCAGUUAAAAAGCUCGUAGUUGAAUUUCGGGAUCAAUAUAUCGGUCGUGCCUUGGUACGUACUGGUAUCAUUGGUUUCUCCUUUCUGACGAACCAUGAUGUCAUUAAUUUGGUGUUAUGGGAAGUUAGGACUGUUACUUUGAAAAAAUUAGAGUGUUUAAAGCAGGCUCACGCUUGAAUACAUUAGCAUGGAAUAAUGAAAUAGGACGUUUGAUUCUAUUUUGUUGGUUUCUAGGAUCGACGUAAUGAUUAAUAGGGAUAGUUGGGGGCAUUAGUAUUCAAUUGUCAGAGGUGAAAUUCUUGGAUUUAUUGAAGACUAACUACUGCGAAAGCAUUUGCCAAGGAUGUUCUCAUUAAUCAAGAACGAAAGUUAGGGGAUCGAAGACGAUCAGAUAUCGUCGUAGUCUUAACCAUAAACUAUGCC